rnacentral:rRNA from 1 species
CCGCAACGAGCGCAACCCUUUUCCUUACUUGCCAGCAUUUCGGAUGGGAACUUUAAGGAUACUGCCAGUGACAAACUGGAGGAAGGCGGGGACGACGUCAAGUCAUCAUGGCCCUUACGGCCAGGGCUACACACGUGCUACAAUGGUCGGUACAAAGGGUUGCUACACAGCGAUGUGAUGCUAAUCUCAAAAAGCCGAUCGUAGUCCGGAUUGGAGUCUGCAACUCGACUCCAUGAAGUCGGAAUCGCUAGUAAUCGCGGAUCAGAAUGCCGCGGUGAAUACGUUCCCGGGCCUUGUACACACCGCCCGUCACACCAUGGGAGUUUGUUGCACCAGAAGUAGCUAGCCUAACUGCAAAGAGGGCGGUUACCACGGUGUGGCCGAUGACUGGGGUGAAGUCGUAACAAGGUAGCCGUAGGGGAACCUGCGGCUGGAUCACCUCCUUA